AUGGCUACAUGUAUUGCCCCUUUUGAGGCAAUUCAUGUAGCCACGUUCAGCUAGCCCUCGAGAGAGGCCUCCCAGCUAUCAUUCGCAACUUCUAUAUCGAUAUUGUCUGGGAACAAUUGACUGCAACUAAAACCUCAUGGAAAUUCAUUGUGUGGAAAAUGGGCAAGAACAAUGUCUCCUUCCUAUUCAAUAUAUUGCAGGAAAGCCUGUGUUCAAAUCUCUUGGCUCAGCAAGAUGAGAAGUUCAUCUGGCAAAAAACUGUUGAUCCCCAUUGCUUUUCAUCAAGGCCUCUCAUUUUCUAAUUUUGCACUCUGUAAUAUCGCUCUCAAUGUUGGAAAUCAGAUGAAAACAUCUUGUGGUCAAUCAAUACAGGAGUUGUUCCUGAAGAUUUUGUUUGAGGAGCACUACAUAAUUGUAAGUCAAUGACAAAAUAUUUGUGGUCAUUGCUUACACCUUUUAAUAUUUUCUGACCAUCUUCAUCCAAAGAGGCCUCGUGAUGAGGAUCCAUUAUCUCCUUCCUUAUAACAUGAUAAGGAAUAUGCAGACUAUGAAAGUUUCAAUGCUGUUGUUCCUUAGAAAUCUUUUACUAAAUAAUAUUUUCUUUCUUUAUAAUUAUAAU